rnacentral:rRNA from 1 species
CUACAGAGGGUGCGAGCGUUAAUCGGAAUUACUGGGCGUAAAGCGCGCGUAGGCGGCUACUUAAGUCAGAUGUGAAAUCCCCGGGCUCAACCUGGGAACUGCAUCUGAUACUGGGUAGCUAGAGCUUAGGAGAGGGAAGUAGAAUUUCAGGUGUAGCGGUGAAAUGCAUAGAGAUCUGAAGGAAUACCAGUGGCGAAGGCGGCUUCCUGGCCUAAAACUGACGCUGAGGUGCGAAAGCGUGGGUAGCAAACGGGAUUAGAAACCCCGGUAGUCC